AUCAUGGGAUUAUUUUUUUUUUCUUUCCUUAUUUGACUGUUGCUGCCCAUUGGGCAGUUCUCUAGAAUGAUUCUUUUUUUAAACAGAGUGUUGUAGGCGCCCAGAAGAUCUCGGGCUGUAAUGCGAGAGGCAGAGAGUACAGAAGAGGCAGGCACGGGGCAGAGUGAAAGGAGCAGUCGAUGACCUGAGUGAUCCAUGCAGGCGGCCUGGUGAUAUUGCUGGUAACGGCAACAUAUGGUGAUCCUGACGUGAUUGGUGGAAUGCGAGACAUCCAUGGCCAUGACACAGAUGGAACAAGUGAUUAAGGUACUCAAGGCAGCAGUGCUUGAGGUGGGUGUGCAGGUUCACUGAGCACCCACGGCUGCUUGCAUCCUAUGGAUGCGGAGGCGGAGUGUGGUACAGGCACCCAUGGAGUUGUUAAGUGUCCAGAUUUGGAUGACGGUAGAGGAGGAGAUGCUGCAGGCUACCUUGGUGGGGACCAAGGGGAUGGACCAGCAUCUUAGGACUCUGUCUAAGGCAGCAGAGGAGAAACAGUUCUGGUUGUCGGUGCAGGAAACUAUCCAUGGGGAGGGGCGGAAAGCGUGGACAGAGGAGAGAGUUUGUAGCGAUCAGAAGGCUCAAACGAGUGUGGAAGUGGAUAAUCUGGGGGCGCAGAUGGGUCCGUCGCUAUGUGGGGGCUCGGAAUGUGAUAAACUUGACAGAGAGGAGGAGAGGGGUGUGGCCCCAGAGCAGAGCCCCUGCGGGAGAGCUGCUUCCCAGUCGAGCCCAGCCUGACAGAAUACCUCUGGGAUGAGUUGCGGGGGAUGCCGAGCGGCACAACAGAUAGUGGGGACCCUACAGUGGCUGCGAUCAUUCGUACUGAUCACCCAGGAUGAGAUGCAGAUAUUUAACCCACUUCUCAGAGGUGAGCUGGUAGCGCAAGCCCAAAGGACGCUAUCUGACUGCCAGAAAGCAUGGCACAAGCAAUAAGCUGGAAUAAAGCAUCAUCCAUACUGAGUAUGUUGUGAUCUUAUCCCCUCAGCGUUCGGUGAGCUGAAUGAUCCAUGCGGGCGGCCUGCUGAUGUUGCCAGUAGCGGCAACAAAUGGAUGUCACAAUUAAUGAGCCCUUUCGCCCCAACAAUCACCUCCAUGUCACCAUUGACACCUGCAGUGGCUACAUACUAGCUACCCCCAUGCACCGAGCCACAGAGCGCCACGCGAUCAGGCACUGGCUACAAUGUAUAGCAGUCCUAGGAUGUCCUGAACAAAUCAAAACUGACAAUGGGCCUUGUUACACCUCCCAUGUGACAGAGGAAUUCUGUCAAACUUGGCAGAUUAAAUUGGUGCAUGGCAUCCCUUACAAUAGCCAGGGACAGGCAAUCAUUGAACGUACUCAUGCUACUCUUAAAGUACAACUCAGUCAGGAAGGGGGAGAGCAUGGGACAUAGAACUCCCCCCGAUAGGCGACAAGAUAUUUUAAUGAGCUGUCUAUACGUCCUUAACCACUUUGUUCGAGGGUCCGGACCCAUACCAGCGCAAGCACACUUUAGGGAGCAAGAACCAGUAGCAGUAGAUGAAUUACCGUCAUUCAAAUUAUGGCAAAUUGACACUGGGGAGUGGGAGUCAGAAUGGAGGCUUAGAUGCCUGGGCCGAGGGUAUGCUUGUGUAGAAAAGGAGGGAACCCAGCAGUGGGUCCCGGUGAAACGAAUAUGGCCAGAAAUACAAGUCUAACAGUCUACUGAGUUUCUCUUGCAGGUUGGCGUGCUCUUCGGAGCACUUGCCGCAAUGCAGAUCCAGCUGGGGUCACCCAACUAUCGCUGAGAUUGGACAGUGGAGUGGAACAUGACCAGCAGCUGUUUAUCUUCCCACAAUUGGCUCAGCUAGCAUGUGUGCUGGGCAGACACGUUAUGUAACAGCCCAUGCCACAAGAUGCUGGAGUCGUCGAGCUUAGGAAGGGGGAGAUGUUGUAGGCACCCGGAAGAUCUUGGGCUGUGAUGGGAGAGGCAGAGAGUACUGAAGAGGUGGGCACGGGGCAAAGUGAAAGGAGCUGCUUGUGUUAGCAGAUAAAAAUGCAUGGCACAAGCAAUAAAGCUGGAAUAAAGGGGAAAUGCUGCAUGCGCUCAGCUCCUGACUCAGCGGCCCUGAUACCCGCACCGUUGCUGAUGUUUUUGGUGGCAUUAAGGGGCAAUAAGUAGGUGACUGCAAUUCAGAAUCUGGAGCAGCUGACACCCCACUUGUAUUGUCAAUAGUAAGUUGCAAGAUCGAUUUAUUAGAGUCAUUAGAGUCAUUAUUCUUGGUAAGUUUUUCCUCCCUUGGUGGACGUUUGGGGUCAGAGGGAGAUUUUAGUGUCAUCGGAGGAGGAGGAGACUGCUCCAUUUCUCCCAGAGAGGAAGAUAACGGUGGCACCAAUGAUGUGGACAGAGUGGCAGCAACGACAUGGGCUGCUGGUCCUGAUAUGCGAACCUCCUCAAAUAUUAACACACUCCCCUUUUUCUCCCCAGAAGUUAUAGCUGCAAAGGCAUCAGUGGCAGCUUUGCGUUCAGCCUUGUAAAGUCUCUUUGAUUAAUUGCCAAGUGGUAGCAAAGCACUGUGCCUCCCGUGAUCCUAGGCUCACCUUUUCCCACAGAGCACUGUCAAGUUUUUCCCAGCUGGUGAGAUCAAAUGCUGUAGCUGCAUCAGUUAUUAUUCCCUUUUCCCGACUCCACAGCAACAAUCGGCAUAAAGUCAGUUCGUCAUAUUUAAGUUCUCUCUUAGAGAGCACAUGUUGGAGGAGAUUUGCUACCGCUUCUUCUUCUUUACUUAAUUUUGUUUCCAUACUCCUCCCUCCCAUCCGCUC